UAGUCCUCACCAACUGGGACUGUUGGAAUGAAGAAGCAAGAAGCGCAAGCUGAGAAGUGAGUGCAAGAGAAGCCUUGAGAAUGCACAUGGAAGAUCAUGAAAUGUGCAAUGUCCGGGACUGCCUUGAAUCACCCAAAAAGAAGAGAUGUGCAAAAUCUGUGCAAGAGAGUACGAAUCAUGUUGGUGCAAAGAUAGGGAGGGAGUCCCUGGCGCCAAGAAUCUUCUUCAGAAAGUGAUGUGUGCAAAUUGGCGCCUAGACAUCAAGUUUGAAUUCAAAUCAGAUCAGAAGUCACAUGCCAGCUUAAGGACCAAAGAGCUGUUAGGAUAUGUCACUUUCUCUCAUGCUGGACGUGCCAUUCUCUCUCUCCAGCCAGUCUGCCCUUCUGAUUUGCCCAGGAUAAUAUUAUUUAUUCAUUCCCUGAAAUAUUCUUUGUUUAUUGUCUUGUUUGUCUUGUUGUAAAGGCUUUAAAGCCACCCCAUUGUAACCAUUACGAAAUUAAGCUGAAUGGGGGAGUUUCCCCUUUCUUCUUCACCAUUCUCAAGUCUCUUAUACUCUCCCUAAUCUCUGGUUACAAGAAUCUCUCUCAUACUCUCUCAAAUCUCACUUAAUCUCUCUUUUGCUCCAUUGCAGUCUCUUUAAUUCUCACUUACUGUCUUCACUCUGUUCUCUUUCAAUCCGACCACUCUCUGUUCUCAACAACACUCACACACCAUAAUCUGUCUAUUCUUACAUGGUAUCAGAGCACUAGGGAAUAGAUCUUGGUGUUAUAUCUUCUAUUUGAGCAUCAAAACCAUUCCGCUUCAGUAUCUCUCGUUUUUUUCACGCUUCUAUCAAAUAGACAAGACUCACUCAGAUAGCUUUGCUCUUCCGACAAACAGAUCGAGAUAAAAAAAAAAAAAAAAAAAAAAAAUUUAUCAACUCAAGUGCUUGUGACUUCAUCCUUCUCAAAGCAUUGCUGAAGCUCCAGGAGUGACAGCCGACCAGAAGAAGACCGUCCCGAACACACCACCAGCUUCUUUCCUCGCGAAAAAAAAAGGAAAAAGGCAGAAGCUUUAUGUUCUUCAACAACACUAAUCUUCUGUAGAUGCGAUACUCCAAGGUGUUGUGCUGGGACGAGCUCAUAACGGACCAGAAAGAAAAAGGACUUAAUCUGCCUGAAGAUUCAGAGUCGACACCAUUUAUCCAUGAGCCAUUUGCCAACACUACAAGCAUCCUGCUUAACUCGUCAUGUCUCCUUCAAAACCAUCUUCAGAUGCAUUCAAACCUGUCAGCUUUGUGUUCACCCGCUGCCAAGUUUGCGGGGGAGUAUUGAAGCCCACAAGAAAAGCCCAUAUUCUGAUCCAAUUAGAAGUCUUGAUGAAUCAUGUAACUAGGGUUUGCUUAUAUAUAUAUCGUUAGUGUUUGAUGAAUGUAACCAAGGCUGCUAUUGUUGCAGCCACUCUUUCUUCUUAAUGAAAUACAAUCUAAAUAUUUAGAUAUCUUGGUGACAAUCUUUAAGCUUCUUUCUUUCUCAAUUUCAUUGCAUAAUAAAGCUUUAAUAAGCUAUUUUUAUUUCAAUAAAACUCUGUUUUAUAUUUAUCUACAUGGUAUUAUUGAAGCCCACAAGAAAAGCCCAUAUUCUGAUCCAAUUAGAAGUCUUGAUGAAUCAUGUAACUAGGGUUUGCUUAUAUAUAUAUCGUUAGUGUUUGAUGAAUGUAACCAAGGCUGCUAUUGUUGCAGCCACUCUUUCUUCUUAAUGAAAUACAAUCUAAAUAUUUAGAUAUCUUGGUGACAAUCUUUAAGCUUCUUUCUUUCUCAAUUUCAUUGCAUAAUAAAGCUUUAAUAAGCUAUUUUUAUUUCAAUAAAACUCUGUUUUAUAUUUAUUUACAUGGUAUCAGAGCUCCAAGCUCCUGAGAAUCCAUAAAGCUUCCGCAAAUCUGUUACAGUUCAUACUUCUCUUCAAAAAUCUCUGUUUCUGUUCAUCCUUGUAUCCUCUGGUCUAAAGCUUUUCCAGGAGGGAAGAGACUCACCAGAACUCAAGAUAAAGGAGGUCUUUAGUAUCUGAAACUCAAAGCUUCCACAAUUCAAGCAUAGGCUCAUCCUCAUUGUUAUUUCAAAUCAUUGGAGAGUUUCUGUCCAGCCAGCUGUUCAAUCUCUUCAAGAGGAAGAAGACUAAACAUGGCGUGUCCAGAGACUUCCCAAGGUCUAUCAUCCUUUCUCCUGUUCAGCCUGAAGAGAUCUCUUGGAGAAAGAAGGUUUUGGAGCUGUUUGGCAAGCAAUGCUCCAAACCAAGUCUGUACAAGUGAUUUUCAAGUUCUUCCCAAAAUGGAGUCUCUCACUGUGUGCCAGAAGGUGGCGCCUGGUAAUCAGGAAGAAAGGAGGGGUCUUAAGCAUGAGUGGUCUAAAGGGAAAGCACACACAAGGAAAUGGCGUGGGGUAGAGAUCCCAAACUCCAAAUCUGUCAAGUUCAAGUGAACAGUGUGCCUUGGAGGUUCAAGGAACCAGCUCAGGUUCCUUGUUUGUAAGUUAACCUCCUACCUUUAAUAAGAGCUUGAGUAGUUAUGUCUGGUUGUGUUGAGUGGUGUGUUUGGUAUCCUUGGGACAGGUUCAAGUUGCUAGAGUUGUUGAACCUAGUUUCUGUCCCAUGAUACUUAAAUUGUGUGUGUUGCUCUGUUUCUUAAAUUAUUUCUAGGAGUUGUCUAGCAUGGUAUUGUUUAGUUCCUGUCCUAGAUUAAUUGUUUCUGUUUGUAUUGUGCUAGGCGAUUGGUUAGCUACUGUCAUUGUCUUGUUGCAUUGAUAAAGGUCUAGGAGAGCCUCCUGAUCUUGUAUUGCAUUAUAUAUAUUGUUCAAGAUGAUUAGAUGAGUUGUUUAGUCUCUGUUUAUUGUCUUUAAAAUUCAUAAAAAGAGCCUAAUUGCCUUGUUAUUGAUGAGUUAUCAUACCUGAGCAGUUAGUGAUGUUAGUAUGCAUGGAGUUGAACUGAAUGAGUUGUUUAGAUUCUGUUCAUUGCAUAUUUAUUUUUAAAACAUUGGGAUCAGACUUGGUGAAUUAUCAAGGGCUGAUCCUAGUGUGUGUGGUCUGAUUCUUGCUGGAGUUUGAGUGAUGUUUCAGGUACACAAGAGGUGAUCUCUGUCCAUCAUCAAACUAAGACAAAGAAGAAGGCAUUGCCCACGUUUUACAGAGCCUCCCAAGAUGGAUAUUCCUGAACCGUGGAGAUUGCCCAGUCCCAAAUCCUAUCUAUGUGUCUGCCCAUUUCCUACCCUGAAGAUAGAAAGGAUGUUGGAGAAUUGGAGAAACUGCUCAGAAGUGACUUACCUGAUGCCAAGAGGAUGUACAGGAGGUGCACUCAAGAGAAAAGGCCAUCACUAAGCCAAGAGUGGCCGGUGGUCAGAGGCAUGGAUCAAGGUGUUUAGUCCUGACCAUGUAAAGAUACCUUGUGAGUAGAACCAGUUGGCUUAAGCGCAGGCGUAGGAGCUGUUGUGCUCCUGGUUCAAGAGACUCAUAAGGAAGGUCAUCACCUAAGUCAUGGGGAGACUGGUGGCCUAAAGACAUUAGAGCUGAAGGAAAAUGGUGAUCCAGUUGGCUUAAGCGCAGAUGUUGGUAUUGUUGUGCUCCUGGAAGAUAGUGAACUGGUUGGCUUAAGCGCAGAUGUUGGUAUUGUUGUGCUCCCAGUUUCAAAACUCAUUGAAGCUCACAUUCAAGCUUGUCCCUAUACUCAGCCAAGCUUGAGGAGGGGAAUCAGUGAGCUACCAGAAGAUCCAUGAAGCUCCUAAGUGUCUCUUUUCCUCAUAGAAGGCCAGCAACAUCUAUGUGUCAAAAUAGAUGAUCAAGAAGAAGAGGUUGCAUGGCGAUUUAAUAAGGAGGGGCCUAAGUGAUCAGUCUGAAGAAGCUGGCACACCCCACCACUCUGACCAGCUAUAUUCAAGGACUCAAGGAGUAUUCAAUCAGGGAAAUUCUUGGCUAAGCAAUCACAUGAUGGUGGCAAAUUAUGGAGUUGAAAAGUGCUGAGCUUCCCUACAUGCUGAAACUUCAAGAGAAAAAUGCAAAGGCUGGUUGAGAGAAGGAAUGGCGUGGAGGAUUCAAGUGCUUAGCAAUCCUCACCAACAUUCAACAAACUGAUGCAAGGGAAGUACCUAAAACCAUUAUUAUUCUUAUGUGUGAAUAGGUUUGCCCCUUGAGAAUUGAUACAUGCAAUUUUUGGAUGAUUGAAUCAGGUACCUAUUGAGCUCAUGAACAAAGAAAAGCUUUGUCUCAACCCUUAAAUGGAGGCAAGAAGCCAAAAGAAAGGGGGAGACAAGCUCAGGUCAUAAGAAGAAGCUCAAAGGUGAUUUGACAGUGAAGCAACUGGCGCCAAUCCAAGUCGUUCAUUGCCUCACCUCUGAUCAAAAUUGGAGUUUGCAAGUGGUGGAUUCACUCUUGCAUUACUCAGUACCAACCGGGUCAAAGAAGCUCAGUUCCAAGUGUGUGAUUGAACUUCCAUAAUCCGGACUGUGUCUUACCAAGUGUGGAUUCAAUUGGAGUCCACUCCUGGCCAUUCUUAUAAAAGGGAAGCACCUUAAACUCAUCUCAAUACAUUCAUGAUUGUCCUUAUACUUAAACUAUUAUUGAGUUUGAUGUGAUGAGUGCAUUUCCUUAAGAACUGAUGCACUUUUGAAAUGAUGCAUCAGGUACCAAAAUAAGCUUGAGCCUCACUGAAGAUGAUGAUGAUGAUCCGGUCAUGUCCUAGCAUUUCUAAGAUGGCCAAAGAAGUCAGUCGAGAGGGGGAGAUCCUAACCGAGUCUAUGGUUCCAUGAAGAGGUCAAGCCAAGUUCUAAAGAACAAGUAACUUUGCUGGGGGUUCAGAGAAGAUGGUCUGGUCGUUUCCUUGCCUUCCUAAGGUGGCUUGAAGCCAGUUGAGAGGGGGAGACCCUAAACCGGACACAAAAUGAUCCAGCCGGCUACUUGUGCUCAAGGAUAGCAAGUUAUGGUGAUUCAUACUUGCUAUACCUAUUAGGCCACGAUCCAGAGCCUAAGGACUCCACCAUGAUGAAUCUGAAGUUCCUUAGGCUCACUGGCCAAUCCCUAAGCUUUGUGGAAACUCCACUCUUUUUCCCUUAGCAAGUUUUGUCCCAAUGGGUUUUCUUGCUAAGGUUUUUAAUGAGGGAGCUUCUUCAAGGUUCCAAGCUUGUCCAAGGAUCUCAUAUGGUCAAGCUUGAGGGGGAGUGUUGGAAUGAAGAAGCAAGAAGCGCAAGCUGAGAAGUGAGUGCAAGAGAAGCCUUGAGAAUGCACAUGGAAGAUCAUGAAAUGUGCAAUGUCCGGGACUGCCUUGAAUCACCCAAAAAGAAGAGAUGUGCAAAAUCUGUGCAAGAGAGUACGAAUCAUGUUGGUGCAAAGAUAGGGAGGGAGUCCCUGGCGCCAAGAAUCUUCUUCAGAAAGUGAUGUGUGCAAAUUGGCGCCUAGACAUCAAGUUUGAAUUCAAAUCAGAUCAGAAGUCACAUGCCAGCUUAAGGACCAAAGAGCUGUUAGGAUAUGUCACUUUCUCUCAUGCUGGACGUGCCAUUCUCUCUCUCCAGCCAGUCUGCCCUUCUGAUUUGCCCAGGAUAAUAUUAUUUAUUCAUUCCCUGAAAUAUUCUUUGUUUAUUGUCUUGUUUGUCUUGUUGUAAAGGCUUUAAAGCCACCCCAUUGUAACCAUUACGAAAUUAAGCUGAAUGGGGGAGUUUCCCCUUUCUUCUUCACCA